rnacentral:rRNA from 1 species
UACGUAGGGACCGAGCGUUGUCCGGAAUCAUUGGGCGUAAAGAGCGUGUAGGCGGCCACUUAAGUCCUGCGUGAAAUCUUGCGGCUCAACCGCAAGCGGUCGUGGGAAACUGGGUGGCUAGAGUGCGGGAGAGGAGAGUGGAAUUCCUGGUGUAGCGGUGGAAUGCGCAGAUAUCAGGAGGAACACCGGUGGUGUAGACGGCUUUCUGGACCGUAACUGACGCUGAGACACGAAAGCGUGGGUAGCAAACAGG